rnacentral:rRNA from 1 species
UACAGAGGGGGCAAGCGUUGUUCGGAAUUACUGGGCGUAAAGGGCGCGUAGGCGGCCUUCUAAGUCGAACGUGAAAUCCCCGGGCUCAACCCGGGAACUGCGUCCGAUACUGGAAGGCUUGAAUCCGGGAGAGGGAUGUGGAAUUCCAGGUGUAGCGGUGAAAUGCGUAGAUAUCGGGAGGAACACCAGAGGCGAAGGCGGCGACCUGGACAGUUACUGACACUCAACUACGAAAGCGUGGGGGAGCAAACAGG